UGGUUCUGGCAUNGAUGAAGAACGCAGCGAAAUGCGAUAAGUAAUGUGAAUUGCAGAAUUCAGUGAAUCAUCGAAUCUUUGAACGCACAUUGCACCUUUUGGUAUUCCGAAAGGUAUAUUUGUUCGAGCGUCAUUUUAAUAUCAAGUAAUACUUGGAUUUGGACUUUAUCUUAAGGAUAUGUCUUAAAUAUAUUUGGUUGCUUUUAUUUAGCCACAAGUAGCAAUGUUUCUUGAAGGUUAAAAUAAAGUUUCCCCAUAACAAAAUUAAAAGUUUGACCUCGGAUCAAAUAAGAUUACCCGCUGA
rnacentral:misc_RNA from 1 species